rnacentral:rRNA from 1 species
GACGAACGCUGGCGGCGUGCCUAAUACAUGCAAGUUGAGCGCUGAAGGUUGGUACUUGUACCGACUGGAUGAGCAGCGAACGGGUGAGUAACGCGUGGGGAAUCUGCCUUUGAGCGGGGGACAACAUUUGGAAACGAAUGCUAAUACCGCAUAAAAACUUUAAACACAAGUUUUAAGUUUGAAAGAUGCAAUUGCAUCACUCAAAGAUGAUCCCGCGUUGUAUUAGCUAGUUGGUGAGGUAAAGGCUCACCAAGGCGAUGAUACAUAGCCGACCUGAGAGGGUGAUCGGCCACAUUGGGACUGAGACACGGCCCAAACUCCUACGGGAGGCAGCAGUAGGGAAUCUUCGGCAAUGGACGAAAGUCUGACCGAGCAACGCCGCGUGAGUGAAGAAGGGUUUCGGAUCGUAAAAAUCUGUUGGUAGAGAAGAACGUUGGUGAGAGUGGAAAGCUCAUAAAGUGACGGUAACUACCCAGAAAGGGACGGCUAACUACGUG